rnacentral:tRNA from 1 species
GGAGAUGUACAUAUAAAACAGUUAGUUAAAUGUGAUUCUACUAAUUCGUAAUGCGAAGGUCGUAGGUUCGACUCCUAUUAUCGGCACCA